UUAUGGUAAUAAGACCUCCACGCAGUUCCUAAACUUUACCCCAACACUAAUCUGUUCAGACGACCUUCAGCCUAACCUGAACCUGCAGACCAAGCCCGUGGACCCGACCGUGGAGGGGGGCGCGCAGGUGCAGCAGGUGGUCAACAUAGAGUGCGUGUCCGACUUCACGGAGGCGCCAGUCCUCAACAUUCAGUUCAGACUUGGAGUUCUGGGAAACAGAUGAAUGGGGAGAAGUGAGGCACAGGGACGUCCUGCCUGAGUAUGCGGCCCUGGCCUGUCCUCCUGUCUGUGGGUGACACUGGACACUGAGCCACACACGAUCCGUGGGGACUGAAGGCUCGGCCCCCCGACCCGCUCUGGUGGGUGGCAGUAGAUCGGGACGCUUCUCACUCCAGGCUCUUUCCCGGUCCCUGGGGCUCUCAGAGGAGUAGCUGACUGUCUCUUUCUGCUGCUGCUGCUGCUGGCAGGUAUGGGGGCACCUUCCAGAACGUGUCUGUGCAGCUGCCCAUCACUCUCAACAAAUUCUUCCAGCCGACAGAAAUGGCUUCUCAGGAUUUCUUUCAACGUUGGAAGCAGUUGAGCAAUCCACAGCAGGAAGUGCAGAACAUCUUCAAAGCAAAGCACCCAAUGGACACAGAAGUCACCAAAGCCAAGAUCAUUGGAUUUGGUUCUGCACUUCUUGAAGAAGUUGAUCCUAAUCCUGCGAAUUUCGUGGGAGCUGGAAUCAUCCACACGAAAACCACCCAGAUUGGAUGCCUGCUGCGCUUGGAGCCGAACCUGCAAGCCCAGGUCAGGCCCUCAGGAAAUGGUGGAACACACUUGAGUUGCUUUUUAUUCUGGCACAAUGUACGUGGUGAGAUGUGUAGCUCUUUAGUGCAGUUCAGUCAGUUUUGACAGAUGUUGUUUAACCACCACCCUGUCAAUACAUGGUUGCCUCCCAGCCUCCCCGCAGCUGGCCACCGUGGAGCAUCAUCCCUAGUGCAGUUCAGUCAGUUGUGACAGAUGUUGUGUGCCUGUUUAACCACCACCCUGUCAAUACAUGGUUGCAUCCCAGCCUCCCCACAGCUGGCCACCGUGGAGCAUCGUCCCACCAUGGAGCAGCCUGGCCCUGGGCGGUGGCUCUCCCAGCUGUUCCUCUCUGUCACCGCGUUGUUCCUUCUCACCACGUCCCGUUCUGGCGACGGACACCUGUCUCCGUUUCACUUGGGU
rnacentral:lncRNA from 1 species